AUGAAGGCCGCCAAAGAAGAGGAGAGAAAGGAUGCGGGGUUUGCCUUGGGAAGCAGGAUGACUGGCUUCCAACAUCUGCCACCAAGUGCUGGCCCGUUUUCCCCUCGGGGCUUUCCUGGGGACACAGCUAAAAACUCCUGGUCUCCAACCUCUCAGUUUAUGGAAGAGGAAAGAACAGAAGGCAGGGUGGAUAAAUGGCUUGUUUCGGGGCACCCAGCAAGAUGCCCUUGCAACCUGUGCCGUGAGCGCUGGGCCCGCACACAGCAGGAGCUCUGCAGAGAAGAAAACCAAGAGAGGACUGGGUUCCGGUCUUCAGCUCCCCUCAAGGUUGUCCUGGACAGGAUCCUCAUCAAUGUCCUCUUGAUCUUUGUUGGACCCCAGCCUCUCCGACAGCCCCUUCUUGACUGCAGUGAGGAGGCCUGAGCCAGGCCAUGAUGGGGGUAGGCGGGGUGGGGGCUGCCUAUGGGACAGGGGAACGGAGGGUUGGAGCCAGCUUCACACGUCUAAGCGUGAGAGGCCACGGCGGUUGGAAGGGUGCACCAUGGUGGGGGCACCGGAGGGCUGGGUCCGGCUGCAGGUGGUGAUGGGGUUCACUGGUGCCGUAUAUCCCUGGUGAAGCAUGUGGGGCAUCUGGGGGGGGGGAAAGCUCAGAUUUUCUGACCUUACUUGACAGAGGAGUCGAGGUUCUCGAUUAGCUAAAAGCCCUUGUCUGGUGCCUGCUUGUGGCACUGGCCUUGGAGAGCCCGUGGGGGUUAUGCCGGCAGCGACCUCGGCGGCCUCCUCUGUUCUCCAUCCUGCCCCUCUUCACAGGGACAGAACUGCACGGCGUGAUGCGUGCGGGCCCUACAGCUCCGCUUCAGGGUUCGCGUCCGGCAUGGACUUACUGGCCGUGCGUCCUUUGGCGAGUUACUCAGCCCGUUUCCUCACCUGCGGAACGGAGUGAGCACAACGGCAUCCCCCGGCAUCCCCGGCAUCCCCGGCAUCCCCGGCAUCCCCGGCAUCCCCGGCAUAGGUUGCUGGGAGCACCAAAUGAAGUAGUUUCUUAUAAAGCCCUUAGAAGGAUGCCUGGCUUGGAGGAACCGGGGCACUGCUGCUGGCAUUGUCCUCACAGGCUGCUCAGGCCCUCUGGAGGGGGGUGAACUCACCCAGGGCUCUUCUCUCCAGCAUCUGCAGCUCUCUGCUGUCCUCUAGCGGACGCUGACUGCGCCAUCCUGAGGGGACCCCUGGCGUGCCCGGAGAGGCCAUGUCAUCCUUCAGAUUCCAAAGGCCAUUUGCCACGUAAGGAAACCUCAUGGUUGAUUCCUGGAUAGAGCCAGACACCUAAUUUCUUCCCCUUCCUCCCAAACAGAAGUCAGUUUUGGGUUGGUGUGUGCAUAUUGCUUUGUGUGAAGCUAGAAGGCGGCAAUUCUUCUUGGUAUUGACAUUCAUUGAUCAUUUUCCGUUUUUACAGGUGUGAUUACCUUGAACCCCAAUACAUUUCUGCAAACGUCCUUAUUCCACGGUCGAAGCCAAACUUUAUCACCCGCACCCCCAGCGUGGGGACAAGCUGGCCGUUUCCUCGAACCUGUGUCCUCCUCUCCGGGCCACAGUCUGGUGUGCAAACCGAGGAACAGCAGAGGCCGCGUCUGCUUGGCUCACAGCUCUGUCUCGGGGCCCAUUAGGGGCCGGGCGCAGCGCUGAGGCCCAGUGUCUGUGCGGAACGGGGUGCGCACCCCAGGCAACCGUGUGGCCUCGCUGCUCCCUGCGCCUCCUUCCUCCUAUUGAGAGCCCCCCGCAGAGGGUCGGGGCAUCCACUGGGGCAUCACGGGGAGGGGGGGGGCGCGGGAUCUGCGCUGAUGAGCGCCAACGGACUCUGGGAAGAGGCAUAUUUAAAGGGAAGGAUGGGGGAUCCCUGGGUGGCGCAGCAGUUUAGCGCCUGCCUUUGGCCCAGGGCGCGAUCCUGGAGACCCGGGAUCGAGUCCCACGUCGGGCUCCCGGUGCAUGGAGCCUGCUUCUCCCUCUGCCUGUGUCUCUGCCUCUCUCUCUCUCUGUGUGUGUGGCUACCAUAAAUAAAUAAAAAUUAAAAAAAAUAAAUAAAGGGAAG
rnacentral:lncRNA from 12 species